AGGGAGGCAGAAGCGGGGGGGGGGGAAUGGGUGGGAGGGGAGAGGAAUCUAAGAGGAAGGGCUAAACCUGGACAGGCUGCCUUGGAAAUGCCAACACAAUGUAAACCUACCCAUUACCCCACCCUCUCUCAUCCACCUCAAAUCUAGCUGGGACUGAGCAAGAACUGAACGACUCUCCUUAAAAUACAUGUGACUUUUGAAUGAACUCGAGAAACAUCACCCUGCUUCACACUCACUUUUAUGUGCAGGCAGAGCAGCAAGUCUCCCUGGAUCGCUUUUUCCCCAUACGCUUUGAUCUGCUCUGAUGGAUACAGACUGAAAGUGUUUAGACGAAGAGGCUAGGAAGAUCCGAUGGACGACUGGUCUGGGUGUCAGUACAUUUCCCAUUAGAGAAAUCACUGGUUUUAAAUGUAGGGCUGUUAUUAAGUGCUGUCCCACUUAAUUAUAAAAGAAAAUCCAGUGUUUUGGAAUGUAGAACACAAAGAGGAAUUGACACAUUAUGCCUCCCAACCUUUCCUUAUAUAAUAAUGGCUCAUAGCUACAUGAUCUUGAAAUCCAGACGAGUUACGUUUUAUAAAUGAAUUUACUCUGUUGUAAGAGAUCAAUCCAUCAUAAAUGAUCUUGACAUAAAUGACACCUCCACUGAACUUGGCGAUGAAAUAUUGAGGGAGUGCCAGUUCCUCUCAUGGAUCCCUGCUAAGGAUUGUAAAAGGGUUUAAAGAUGGUCACAAGGACAAAAUAUUUAUAUUUGUAAUGUACGUAGUAUGUGUGUACUAAAAAAAGCAUCUAUUCAAUGCCUUCUUUGAUAUUUUUCUCAUUGAUCUUGAUCUUUUUUUCAUUAAAGAAGUUAAACAGAUGUAAUAAUGUUGAUUAUGUUGCAUAAGAUCUGUAACCUAUGUUUCCAGUUCUGUUUGUGUUGAUGCUCGUUUAACGCCAAUAUGUGUCGCUGUGCUCUUAUCCUAAAUAAUCUCUGUAUAAUGAACAUGCACCUAAUUAUACUGCAUUUAACUAA